rnacentral:rRNA from 1 species
AUUGAACGCUGGCGGCAGGCUUAACACAUGCAAGUCGAGCGGGGUGAUGGUGCUUGCACUAUCACUUAGCGGCGGACGGGUGAGUAAUGCUUAGGAAUCUGCCUAUUAGUGGGGGACAACAUCUCGAAAGGGAUGCUAAUACCGCAUACGUCCUACGGGAGAAAGCAGGGGAUCACUUGUGACCUUGCGCUAAUAGAUGAGCCUAAGUCGGAUUAGCUAGUUGGUGGGGUAAAGGCCUACCAAGGCGACGAUCUGUGGCGGGUCUGAGAGGAUGAUCCGCCACACUGGGACUGAGACACGGCCCAGACCCCUGCGGGAGGCAGCAGUGGGGAAUAUUGGACAAUGGGGGGAUCCCUGAUCCGGCCAUGCCGCGUGUGUGAAGAAGGCCUUAUGGUUGUAAAGCACUUUAAGCGAGGAGGAGGCUCUUUUGGUUAAUACCCGAGAUGAGUGGACGUUACUCGCAGAAUAAGCACCGGCUAACUCUGUGCCAGCCGCCGCAGUAA